UGAGUAACCUGCCCAUGACUCUGGAAUAACUGCUGGAAACAGCCGCUAAUACCGGAUAUUACCUUUGAAGACAUCUUCGAUGGUGGGAAGCUCCGGCGGUCAUGGAUGGGCUCGCGGCCUAUCAGCUUGUUGGUGAGGUAACGGCUCACCAAGGCUUCGGACGGGUAGCCGGCCUGAGAGGGCGACCGGCCACACGUGGGACUGAGAUACGGCCCAGACUCCGUACGGGAGCUAAGG
rnacentral:rRNA from 1 species